rnacentral:rRNA from 1 species
GCAGAGCACUCCUACGGGAGGCAGCAGUGGGGAAUAUUGCACAAUGGGCGCAAGCCUGAUGCAGCCAUGCCGCGUGUAUGAACAAGGCCUUCGGGUUGUAAAGUACUUUCAGCAGUGAGGAAGGUGGGUAUGUUAAUAGCAUAUUCAUUUGACGUUAGCUGCAGAAUAAGCACCGGCUAACUCUGUGCCAGCAGCCGCGGUAAUACAGAGGGUGCAAGCGUUAAUCGGAAUUACUGGGCGUAAAGCGCAUGUAGGUGGUUGCAUAAGUUUGAUGUGAAAGCCCCGGGCUUAACCUGGGAAUGGCGUUGAAGACUGUGUGACUAGAGUCGGACAGAGGGUCGUGGAAUUUCCGGUGUAGCGGUGAAAUGCGUAGAGAUCGGAAAGAACACCAGUGGCGAAGGCGGCGACCUGGGUCCAGACUGACACUGAGGUGCGAAAGCAUGGGGAGCAAACAGGAUUAGAUACCCUGGUAG